rnacentral:rRNA from 1 species
UACGAAGGGGGCUAGCGUUGUUCGGAAUUACUGGGCGUAAAGCGCACGUAGGCGGAUUUGUAAGUCAGGGGUGAAAUCCCGGGGCUCAACCUCGGAACUGCCUUUGAUACUGCAAGUCUCGAGUCCGAUAGAGGUGAGUGGAAUUCCUAGUGUAGAGGUGAAAUUCGUAGAUAUUAGGAAGAACACCAGUGGCGAAGGCGGCUCACUGGAUCGGUACUGACGCUGAGGUGCGAAAGCGUGGGAGCAAACAGGG